AAUUGUCUAUGGCCGCGAACAAGCCCGAUUCCGUCUGAUCUCGGAAGCUAAGCAGGGUCGGGCCUGGUUAGUACUUGGAUGGGAGACCACCUAGGAAGACUAGGUGCUAUUA
rnacentral:rRNA from 1 species